GUCUACUUGGAGGUUGUGGCCUUGAGCCGUGGCUUUCGGAGCUAACGCGUUAAGUAGACCGCCUGGGGAGUACGGUCGCAAGAUUAAAACUCAAAUGAAUUGACGGGGGCCCGCACAAGCGGUGGAGCAUGUGGUUUAAUUCGAUGCAACGCGAAGAACCUUACCUACUCUUGACAUCCAGAGAACUUAGCAGAGAUGCUUUGGUGCCUUCGGGAACUCUGAGACAGGUGCUGCAUGGCUGUCGUCAGCUCGUGUUGUGAAAUGUUGGGUUAAGUCCCGCAACGAGCGCAACCCUUAUCCUUGUUUGCCAGCGAGUAAUGUCGGGAACUCCAGGGAGACUGCCGGUGAUAAACCGGAGGAAGGUGGGGACGACGUCAAGUCAUCAUGGCCCUUACGAGUAGGGCUACACACGUGCUACAAUGGCGCAUACAGAGGGCGGCCAACUUGCGAAAGUGAGCGAAUCCCAAAAAGUGCGUCGUAGUCCGGAUUGGAGUCUGCAACUCGACUCCAUGAAGUCGGAAUCGCUAGUAAUCGUGAAUCAGAAUGUCACGGUGAAUACGUUCCCGGGCCUUGUACACACCGCCCGUCACACACCAUAG
rnacentral:rRNA from 1 species